UAUUUAAUAAUAAAAUUAUAAAAUUAGAAUGAUACAGAGAAGAUUAGCAUGGCGUCUGCGCAAGGAUGACACCUAUAAAUCUAGAUAUGGUCUAAAUUUUU
rnacentral:snRNA from 1 species